GACGAACCGAGCGAACGUUAUUCGGAAUCACUGGGCUUAAAGGGCGCGUAGGCGGACGAUCAAGUCAGGGGUGAAAGCCCCGGCUCAACCGGGGAAGUGCCUCUGAUACUGGUCGUCUCGAGGGAGGUAGGGGCGUGCGGAACUUCCGGUGGAGCGGUGAAAUGCGUAGAUAUCGGAAGGAACACCGGUGGCGAAAGCGGCGCGCUGGACCUCUUCUGACGCUGAGGCGCGAAAGCCAGGGGAGCGAACGGG
rnacentral:rRNA from 1 species